UAGUCCACACAGUAAACGAUGAAUACUCGCUGUUUGCGAUAUACAGUAAGCGGCCAAGCGAAAGCGUUAAGUAUUCCACCUGGGGAGUACGCCGGCAACGGUGAAACUCAAAGGAAUUGACGGGGGCCCGCACAAGCGGAGGAACAUGUGGUUUAAUUCGAUGAUACGCGAGGAACCUUACCCGGGCUUAAAUUAUACCUGAAUAAUUUGGAAACAGAUUAGCCGCAAGGCAGGUAUGA
rnacentral:rRNA from 1 species